AAGGUCCCAGGGAGCUCAAGGACAAACCAGCUGCUCUGGGCAAGCCUGCUUUAAAAUCAGCAGAGGAUCAGGGAAUGUUCUCCAGCUUUCUGCUUUAUCUAACAUGUCUGAAAAUCCAGAAAAUUCAGGGAAAGAGUCAGAGCACCUCAGGGGAAGCCAAAUAUCACCAAAGGAGCCCCAACAGCCACACUCCAGAGGAGCUCUGAGUGGUUGUGUCUGCCCCAAGAUGACCCUGAUUUCAUUUGCUCCACGAGCUCCAGCGAGGCCACAUCAAUCAGGCAAAGCCUGGAGAGGAAGCAGCCCCACCGUUGAUUAAAGCUGGCUCUGAGAGUGGAAUUCAGCCUGGAGGAGCCUUGUCUUUUAACGGGAACUAAUCACAAAGUUGGGGGAAAGGAGUUGUUCUUUUUGUGUUGUUGGUGUUCCUGGUGCACUGAAAAAUCCAUCAGUGAGCAUUGA